UCUUGGGAGCGAGAAAUGCGGGGGAGGAGGGGAAGAAUGACCUAAGCUCAACGAGAACAGAAAUCUCGUGUGGAACAAAAGGGUAAAAGCUCGUUUGAUUCUCAUUUCCAGUAUGAAUACGAACCGUGAAAGCGUGGCCUAUCGAUCCUUUAGAUCUUCGGAGUUUGAAGCUAGAG
rnacentral:ncRNA from 2 species